rnacentral:rRNA from 1 species
GGAGUUUGGUCCGUGUCUCAGUACCAAUGUGGGGGACCUUCCUCUCAGAACCCCUACUGAUCGAUGGCUUGGUGGGCCGUUACCCCGCCAACAACCUAAUCAGACGCAUCCCCAUCCCUUAGCGGUAAACCUUUGCUUCUCGUCAGAUGCCAUCAAAGAAGAACAUAGAGCAUUAAUCCGACUUUCGCCGGGCUAUUCUCUACUAAGGGCCAGGUUGGAUACGCGUUACUCACCCGUGCGCCGGUCGCCAUCAAAGUUUGCAAGCAAACUUCAUGCUGCCCCUCGACUUGCAUGUGUUAAGCCUGUAGCUAGCGUUCAUC